rnacentral:lncRNA from 1 species
GUUAUAAAUAAAUGCAAAAGUGAAAGACAACUACGAUGAAAACGAAUUAAAACGACAGGCAGGAAACUAAGAAACAAGAACCGAUAUACGCCUAGAACAAAAUGACAAUUCUCCAUUAAUUGGAAUUUACACCAACGGAUAAAAAAUUCAUUACUCACAAAUCCAAGUUAAGUCCAGAAAUUAUUAAAGAGAGGAAAAAAAACAAAGAUGUAGAUAAUGACGAGGGUUUUGGUAUAAGAAUCAAUAAAGCCAAAAUCAGAGGGCCUUCAAUUCUUUCCCCUUUCCGAAGCAAAUCCCUUUCACAAUUUCUUCAUCACUCAUCAGAAGCAUGCAUCAAGGAGACAACAGCAGCAGAGAGCAGCCAAACUGCAAAAAAAUCAACACUAUUUCAAUUGCAGAUACAUUUGCAAUAGCCAAUAGGAGUCGAGGUUAAUUAGCGAGAACCAAAAAGCAAGAGAGAACUCGGAGAAGAAGGUCAUCUGCAUCGAUUAUGUACACAUUCAAUUUCAAUUGAGAAUGCCAACAUAUUAGGUCGAGUCAAUUACAAUAUCUACCACUAGCCAAUCCUGAAAUAGCAGUAAUUAGGGUUAACAGCUAAUUAACCGCGACGCAAUAACGGAAGGUGAGUUUAGGCUGCCGGUUGACGCGUUGACUCGGCGUCAAUUCGUAAAAUUUACAAACAAAAAUUCAGAUCCGCGGAUCUAGUAUCAGAAUACGAAUUCGAUCAAUCAAAUCAACACAAAACUGGCAGAUGAUUUAGAUAAUCGCAAGUAUAAACUUACCAUCCUUCCAUGAAUCCUGGGCUACCGGAUUGCUGUUGCUGGUGCGGCGGCGGCUGGCCGUACUGGGGGGCGUACUGCGGCGGAUAUCCCUGGGGUGGGUAUCCCUGCGCCUGCGGGUACCCCUGCGGCGGGUAUCCCGCCGGCGGAUAUGCAUCCUUAGGGUAGCCCUCCGGCGGGUAACCUAAACAGCCGGAAUUUAAAAAAAGAAAGAAAGUUAACUAACAAAAACAAAUCUCAUAUGAUUUUGAUGAAGUAUUUCGAAAGAAAAUCAAAAUUUCGACUUGCCUUGAGGCGGAGGUACACCGACUGGGGGUUGAUUCUGAUUGUAAUAACUCAUGAUCUACAAAGGAAUUUUUCUCUUGAUGGAUAAAGUAUGAACUGACGGAUUUCUGUACUUGCGCGGAGAGAGAAUUUUCUUCUCUAGAGAGAGAAAAAGAGAAGACGGACGAUAUUGUAGAGAUGGGCAGGUUUUUAUAUAGGUGUGACCCAAAAGAAGAUU